rnacentral:rRNA from 1 species
UACGGGGGGGGGCAAGCGUUGUUCGGAAUUACUGGGCGUAAAGGGCUCGUAGGCGGCCAACUAAGUCAGACGUGAAAUCCCUCGGCUUAACCGGGGAACUGCAUCUGAUACUGGAUGGCUUGAGUUCGGGAGAGGGAUGCGGAAUUCCAGGUGUAGCGGUGAAAUGCGUAGAUAUCUGGAGGAACACCGGUGGCGAAGGCGGCAAUCCUGGACCGGCACUGACGCUGAGGAGCGAAAGCCAGGGGAGCAAAGCGGG